GAGCCUUACUUAAUGUUUUUUUUUGGACAUUUGUUCAUGAUUGAAGUGCGUUCAUGUUAAAGUGACGUGCUUGGGCAUGGAUGCCCUGAAGAAAGAGCUUCAUGUACUUCAGGGUUAAGUUCUACUGAAAGUUUUGAUCAUUAUUUUUACAAAACACCGAGCAUUAUUAAUUUCGAACAGAAACAACUGAAGUGCCGUUACCUGCCAAUCAAAUCACCCAAAUUAGGUUAAUGUACUUUAUUACAACCGUUUUCAAUUUAGCAAUAUAUGCUUCUUUUAUGAGUUCUUUGCGAGGCAUUGAUUAAAUUGUACUUUUUUUUAAUGUCGCUAUAUUGAGAUGACAUCAUUAAGUUGCCUCUUUAUGAACAGAAACUUUCACACUGAUCACGAGACUUCUUUUAUUCGUGCCAGUUUUCAUGACGUUUUCAAAAUGAGCUUCGGGUCCGUCGCCAUGGUAACAAAAACAUAACCGACGAACGCUGAUCACCUCGCCUGGAUUUUCUAGUCGGGUGCCGCCUGAUGUUGACAUGCAGAAGAUGUUGCAGUCU